UGCGGAGGAUGCGAGCGUUAUCCGGAUUUAUUGGGUUUAAAGGGUGCGUAGGCGGACUGUCAAGUCAGCGGUAAAAUUGAGAGGCUCAACCUCUUCCCGCCGUUGGAACUGGUGGUCUUGAGUGGAUGAGAAGUACGCGGAAUGCGUGGUGUAGCGGUGAAAUGCAUAGAUAUCACGCAGAACUCCGAUUGCGAAGGCAGCGUACCGGCAUCCAACUGACGCUGAGGCACGAAAGCGUGGGGAUCAAACAGG
rnacentral:rRNA from 1 species